UCAGAAUCCACGUUUUAUCCAACUGCACCAUUUAUCAUCUGUAUCCACAUUCUCCAAUUUCCUUUCAUGUCUGAACUUCCAUAAGAUGAAGUCUGGACUGAUUAAAGCCUUCACUGUCAGUAACAACUUAAAUUUUAUGCAUUUCCCAUUUAUAUUUUGGGUAUUUCAUUCUUUAUCUGAUGGAUUUUGCAGAUGUUGCACAAUUUUAUCGUAAGUGUUGCAAAAAGGUCGUUUAACAAUGAUGGCAGAUCGGCAGUACUUUUUCCUUUUGACUUGUGAUUUGGUUUUCCAUCUACUUAUGUAAAGAUUUAACUUUAUUGGUUUAGAUUUCCUGUUAUGUGCAAAUCUAUGAGUUGAAGAUCGUGUCAGCAAGAGCUUUGCCAUAGUUUCUGUAUGGUCCAUCUAUUUUUGGGGAUGAAAAUGAAAUGUCCGAGAAGCGAGUAGACUUGAGGGUUUCGUGCUCUUCUUAGAACGUUAUAUUGCAGGUAUAAACUUCAAGUGCGAGUGGCUUUAAUUCUUUGUUGCUUUGGGAUCGUCAAGCAACAAAGCUCAUAGAGAAGUCUGCUACUCAACUAAAAGGACAGUUAGAAGAGGAAGGGUUGUUCCUUCAAGAUGUACAAGUUGGAAAACUGUUUGUUGAAAGAUGUAUUGGUGCCAUCCACGAGCUAAUGAACUUGGGAUUAUUCUAGGAAACUGAAGUAAUUUUUAGUUGUGUACCUUGGUUUAUGUCUUUAAGAAUCAUGAUUGUAAUUAGUAGUUACUUAACUCCUUUUGUUAAGGAUUUUUUCAUGCAAUAUGUUAGUAGUUGAACAAAUCGAAUAGUGAUGGGAUGUGUUGGUGAAGUUUAAGAUUUUCGUUCAACUUAUGUUUCCAAGACUUAAUAGCAAGCAAUGUAUAUGUUCUGUUAUAGAUAUCUAAGUCCUAUAAAAUCAAUUUGUUUUUACUAGCUGCAAUUUAA